rnacentral:rRNA from 1 species
UACAGAGACCCCGAGCGUUAUCCGGAAUUACUGGGCGUAAAGCGUGAGCAGCCGGUUGUAUUAGUCUGGUGUCAAACCAUGGGGCCCAACCCCAUGCCUGCAUUGGAAACGGUACAACUCGAGUGGGUAAGAGGGAGGCGGAACGUAUGGUGUAGGGGUGAAAUCCACUGAUAUCAUACGGAACACCAAAAGCGAAGGCAGCCUCCUAGUGCUCUACUGACGGUCAAUCACUAAAGCGUGGGGAUCAAAAAGG